CGACAGCGCAAAGUUAGCAUUUAGCACUCACAUUGAUAGAUAUUCACUAUGAUUUUGAAGAGUUUAUUUAUUAGUUUGUUUGCUAUUAGUUUUGCUUACAUUACUGAUAUUGAAUCAGAGGAUAAGCUCAUUGAUUUAUACGCACACCGUAAUCGUAACUAUGAAGUAA